CCCUUAGAUGCUCUGGGCCGCACGCGCGAUACACUGGUCGAUGCAACGAGUUUCUUUCCUUGGCCGACAGGCCUGGGCAAUCUUUGAACAUCGAUCGUGAUCGGGAUAGAUUCUUGUAAUUUUUGAUCUUAAACGAGGAAUUCCUAGUAAACGCAAGUCAUCAGCUUGCAUUGAUUACGUCCCUGCCCUUUGUACACACCGCCCGUCGCACCUACCGAUUGAAUGGUCCGGUGAAAUCUCCGGACUGGCGUGAGUCGGAGCAAUCUGACAAACACCGGAAAGUUGAUUAAACCUUACCAUUUAGAGGAAGGUGAAGUCGUAACA
rnacentral:rRNA from 1 species